rnacentral:rRNA from 1 species
GAUGAACGCUGGCGGCGUGCCUAAUACAUGCAAGUCGAGCGAACAGAUGAGGAGCUUGCUCCUCUGACGUUAGCGGCGGACGGGUGAGUAACACGUGGAUAUCCUACCUAUAAGACUGGGAUAACUUCGGGAAACCGGAGCUAAUACCGGAUAAUAUAUUGAACCGCAUGGUUCAAUAGUGAAAGACGGUUUUGCUGUCACUUAUAGAUGGAUCCGCGCCGCAUUAGCUAGUUGGUAAGGUAACGGCUUACCAAGGCAACGAUGCGUAGCCGACCUGAGAGGGUGAUCGGCCACACUGGAACUGAGACACGGUCCAGACUCCUACGGGAGGCAGCAGUAGGGAAUCGUCCGCAAUGGGCGAAAGCCUGACGGAGCAACGCCGCGUGAGUGAUGAAGGUCUUCGGAUCGUAAAACUCUGUUAUUAGGGAAGAACAAAUGUGUAAGUAACUAUGCACGUCUUGACGGUACCUAAUCAGAAAGCCACGGCUAACUACGUG